rnacentral:rRNA from 1 species
ACAGUCACACAUUAGAUACCCGUGUAGUCCCAGCCGUAAACUAUGCGCGUUAGGUGUAUCGGUGACCACGAGUUACCGAGGUGCCGAAGGGAAACCGUGAAACGUGCCGCCUGGGAAGUACGGUCGCAAGGCUGAAACUUAAAGGAAUUGGCGGGGAGCACCACAACGGGUGGAGCCUGCGGUUUAAUUGGACUCAACGCCGGGAAGCUCACCGGAUAAGACAGCGGAAUGAUUGCCGGGCUGAAGACUCUGCAUGACUAGCUG